AUACGAAAGGUGCAAGCGUUGUUCGGAUUUACUGGGCGUAAAGAGAGUGUAGGUUGUUUAUUAAGUCGGAUGUGAAAUCCCGGGGCUCAACCUCGGAACUGCAUUCGAUACUGGUAGACUAGAGUUCGGGAGGGGUAAGCGGAAUUCCGUGUGUAGCAGUGAAACGCGUAGAUAUACGGAGGAACACCUGAGGCGAAGGCGGCUUACUGGACCGAUACUGACACUGAGACUCGAAAGCGUGGGUAGCAAACAGGAUUAGAAACCCCGGUAGUCC
rnacentral:rRNA from 1 species